rnacentral:rRNA from 1 species
AGUGAACGCUGGCGGUAGGCCUAACACAUGCAAGUCGAACGGCAGCACAGUAAGAGCUUGCUCUUACGGGUGGCGAGUGGCGGACGGGUGAGGAAUACAUCGGAAUCUACUUUUUCGUGGGGGAUAACGUAGGGAAACUUACGCUAAUACCGCAUACGACCUACGGGUGAAAGCAAGGGAUCUUCGGACCUUGCGCGAUUGAAUGAGCCGAUGUCGGAUUAGCUAGUUGGCGGGGUAAAGGCCCACCAAGGCGACGAUCCGUAGCUGGUCUGAGAGGAUGAUCAGACACAUUGGAACCAGGAAACGGUCCAGAAUCCUAAGGUAAGCAGAGGUGGGGAAUAGUGGGGAAUGGGCGCCAGCAGGCCACAACCAAACCGCGCGGGUGAAGAAGGCCCUCGGGUUCUAAAGCCCUUUUUGGGGGAAAGAAAAGCAGUGGGUUAAUACCUCCCUGUCCUGACCGUACCCAAACAAUAAGCACCGGCUAACUUCGUG